rnacentral:rRNA from 1 species
AACGUAGGGGGCAAGCGUUAUCCGGAAUUACUGGGCGUAAAGGGCGUCUAGGCGGCCUGCUAAGUCUUGUGUGAAAGCUCCCGGCUCAACUGGGAGAGCGCAUAAGAUACUGACAGGCUAGAGACUCGGAGAGGGGUGUGGAAUUCCCGGUGGAGUGGUGAAAUGCGUUGAGAUCGGGAGGAACACCAGUGGCGAAAGCGGCACCCUGGCCGAGUUCUGACGCUGAAGCGCGAAAGCGUGGGGAGCGAACGGG